AUGCGGGAGCGCACCGCCGGCGAGCCGCCCAAGGAUGACUUCCUGGACGUGUUGCUGGACUACCGCGGCCUGGAAAAUGGCCGGGGACUCGAUCGGGAAAUGCUGCGCGCAUUACUUGCGGAUUUGUUUAUAGCUGGAAGCGAUACAAGUGCAACAACCUUCGAGUGGGCAAUGGCUGAGUUGCUACAAAACCCAUCAGCCAUGGCGAAAGCUCGUGAAGAACUUGCGCAGGUGAUUAGCUCCAAAUCAGAAAUCGAGGAAUCGGACAUUGGCCAGCUCGAGUACAUCCAGGCCGUUGUGAAAGAGAUGUUCCGCUUGCACCCUCCCGCUCCAUUCCUUAUACCCCGCCAAGCCGAAGCGACCACGGAGCUAAGAGGUUACACGGUGCCCAAGGGCGCGCGCGUGAUGGUGAACGUCUGGGCGAUUGGCCGAGACAGCGAGUUGUGGUCCGAACCAGAGAGGUUCAUACCGGAGAGGUUCUUGGGGAAAGACAUGGAUUACCGAGGCCGAGACUUUGAACUCCUUCCGUUUGGUUCUGGCCGACGGAUCUGCCCAGGGAUGCCGCUGGCUGUGCGCAUGGUGCAUCUAAUGCUUGCGACACUGCUGUACCGGUUUGAGUGGAGGCUUCCAAGAGAAGUGGAGGAAAAUGGGGUGGACAUGGGGGAGAAGUUUGGGAUUGUGCUAGCAUUGGCCACCCCUCUCCAGGCCAUAGCUGAAUCAAUGUAA
rnacentral:rRNA from 1 species